GGUUUUUACAGCUUACUGCGAGGAUUUGUUCUCCCGGGAUGUAAUCGGACUUUUCCGGACAAAGGUAGCAGGCUUGAUGGCUAACUGUUGCUGGAGAGUCCCAUCUCACUCUGUGUGAAAGGCACCAACAUGAAAUGUGCAUGUCUUUGGAAGUGGGAGGAAGCCGGAGUACCCGGAGGGAACCCACGCAGUCACGGGAAGGACAUGCAAACUCCACACAGAAAGAUCCCGAGCCCGGGAUUGAACCCCAGACUACUCAGGACCUUCGUAUUGUGAGGCAGAUGCACUAACCCCUCUGCCACCGUGAAGCCCACUUUCUAAAGUCAACUGAACUUAUUAUUAUGGGUUUUUAAUGCGUUUCCACGCUUUUUUCUAGUUGUAGUUGUCAUAAUUCUUCUUAGUUGUGAUGGGCAACUUGUUCUGUCAACUUGAAAGCAAUAGUCCUUCUGACAAACAGCCCAAAUCACAGUGUAACAGAGCUGUAACAGAGGGUGGGACAAAGCCUGUGUGUCUCGUAUGUGUGAAAGAGGCUAUAGCGGCAUAGCAGAGGGCGUGAUGGUGCCUGUAUGUAAGAUGUAAGGGAUUGACGGAUUGACACCUGUUACUGUCGGACAAGUUGUUUUUGUAUGUCACAGUAGACACUAGCGCUGGUGACGCAGCUUCCUAUCUGAUUGGAUCAUGCCACGUUGUGAAAGCACAUACUUUUUUAGUAAUUUCCAGCUUUAAUUCUGUAACAAAGACAAAUGCGAGAUCUUGUGUCACAGCUCGGAGUAAUUUUUGCCAGGUUCACAAUUCUAAAGACGAUGGUAUUAAUUAAGUACAUGGUAGCUGCGGAUUAAGGACUGAAUAGAAUUGUUUCAUCUAUAUAAAUUAUGUUUAAUUUUGCAUUGAAAAAGACUGAAGAAGGAAGGGAAUAUAUAUAUGCACUUUACAAUUUAAUUUAACACCUUUAACCCUUGUGUAAUGUGACUCUCAUAUGGUCAGUAUUUUAGCAUAAAAGUGUUUGAUUGUGAGGCAUUAAAAGCCACAAAAUGCAACGGGUCCACCAGACCCACAAACGCUGGCUGAGUAACAACAAUAUGAACGUUGCACGGAAAAUUUCUCUGCCAGUUUCUGCAUCCCACAGGGAUUCGUCUUUUGUGUUUCUGCACCUGCGGUUCCCACACGAGGUUACAACAUUGUUUGUCAACACUGUCUGCUCUCAUUUUCUCGCACAUUUGACACUCUGAUGUUCUGUGU